rnacentral:rRNA from 1 species
AUUGAACGCUGGCGGCAUGCCUUACACAUGCCAGUCGAACGGCAGCACGGGUGCUUGCCCCUGGUGGCGAGUGGCGAACGGGUGAGUAAUACAUCGGAACAUGUCCUGUAGUGGGGGAUAGCCCGGCGAAAGCCGGAUUAAUACCGCAUACGAACUACGGAUGAAAGCGGGGGACCUUCGGGCCUCGCGCUAUAGGGUUGGCCGAUGGCUGAUUAGCUAGUUGGUGGGGUAAAGGCCUACCAAGGCGACGAUCAGUAGCUGGUCUGAGAGGACGACCAGCCACACUGGGACUGAGACACGGCCCAGACUCCUACGGGAGGCAGCAGUGGGGAAUUUUGGACAAUGGGCGAAAGCCUGAUCCAGCAAUGCCGCGUGUGUGAAGAAGGCCUUCGGGUUGUAAAGCACUUUUGUCCGGAAAGAAAUCCUUGGCCCUAAUACGGUCGGGGGAUGACGGUACCGGAAGAAUAAGCACCGGCUAACUACGUG